GUUUAAUCUUCCCCUCCCAAUGUUGUGGGUUUCUGGUCAUGUCAUGCUGUGGCCAUGUAAACAGAGCUGGCAUGGAGAAUAGGAGCUGAACUGAAUGUGCCAAGGAUUAAAUACAAUAGGGCCAGUUGUACUUUGUAAUGAUAACCUUCAUUUAAACAUAAAAUAUACUGUUGCAUUGAAAGAAAAAGCAUUUGUAAGUAAUAUAAAGACAAAUCAUGAGUUUAUUGAGGGUUGAACAAAGAAGACAUCUCUGCCGCAGAAUCAUUUAACAGGAACUCAAUACACCUCCAGCAAAUGUUGAAACAGCAAUUUAGAUGAGAAGUUCAAGUUGGCAGGCUAAAAUAAACA